CUCCUACCGAAGGGAACCACGUUCGAUUCUCUGAUUUUGGGAACCAGGACAUCCAAGCGAUCAACCCCCCUGCUAGAUCGGGGGCAAUCGCAACAAUUGGUGGCAGCGACGGGAUCAUCCUGUGAUUCCUAAGAGAGCUACGGAACGGAUGGAGAGCAAUUACGAGAAGCUGAAACGUACCACGCUGAAAGAUCUGCUCGAGAGCCGAGGUGGGAACGCGAGCAAUAGACCUAGGAGAGAACUGAUUGCGGACCUGACCAAGAUGCACCAGAGCUUCACCAUGGCAGAACCCACGAUCCUACCUAACGAUGAGAAGACAAGAAUUGUCCAGGAAAGGCUUCCCCUAUACGGGCCGAACCCUUCCGUGGAAUUAGUGAGACAGCUGAUGGCGGAGGCAGAGGAGGAUAUCGAAAGGGCUCGAGCCCAUGAGCUCAGCCUGAAAACCGCAGCACUUGGGGCCUUCAACAACACACACAGCACGACUACAGAAACGACGGGACAACCGAAAAUCCCAUUCGCGGCCUUCAAACCAUUCGUGGAGAACGAGAUGGGGAUCGACGAAUUCCUAACCGAUUUUGAGCGACAGUGUGCUUUACAUCAAAUCCCCACAACGGUCUUGUUACAAAAGACUCGAAAUGACUCCAUU